rnacentral:rRNA from 1 species
UUCCUGUACUACCGAUAACCGUUUGAGAGAUGGGAUGACACAGUAGGAUAAGCUAAGCACACUGUUGGUUAUGUGUGCCCAAGCAUUGAGGCAGUCAAAGUAGGUAAAUCCGCUUUGAUAAUGCUAGUAUGUGAUGGGGAGCGAAAUUUAGUAGCGAAGUAGCUGAUUUCACACUGUCAAGAAAAGUCUCUAUCGAGGUUAAAGGUACCCGUACCGCAAACCGACACAGGUGGGUGAGGAGAGUAUCCUAAGGC